GCCACAGCUGCUAAAUGUAGCAAGAAUAACUCACCUCUAUCCUUCAUAAGAAAACCUAUUGCGCCCUAUUCAUUAAUGGAAAAAUCAUAGGACCAAAGUCAUAAAAUUGAAAAGGAAACGAAAAAUGUGCUCGACUCUACCUAUAUGACUUCUGUAAUGCAAACCGUCGCCCAAAAUCAAUAUAAUGAACGAAUCCAGACUGAAAAGGGUAUUCAGAAAGACCACAUGAUGAAAGGAAAGGAAAGGAAUGGAAA
rnacentral:misc_RNA from 1 species